GGAGAUGGUGAAAGCAAUGCAACGCGGGCCUUUUGCUCGAGAAAGCUGAAGCAGAUAGAAUUGCAGCUAUAAAAAAUGCCGAGGCAAACCAACAUGUGCAGGAAAAAACAUCCGCUUCCACUGCCCAAGUUGAAGUGAGAUGAUUCAACAUAGCAUUGACAGAAAUAAAAUCAGAAUUUACAUGUAACGUCUCAUCCCUCUCUUCUUACCCUUUUUAUUUUUGCUUUUCUUUUCGUGGGCCUUUUUUUGCUAAGUUGGUAAAAAUUGAUAUGAUUUUGGCAAUGCCGAGGACGGAGAACCCGUGUUGGCUAAUCUGGAUACAUGGGCAACUUUUGGUAGGUGUCAUAUAAUUCAUGGUUGCCUUUCAAUAAAGCCGUUUUGUUGCUUCACAUGUACAGAUGAACAAAUGAAUUCUAGUUCAUCUUUGGAAGGACGAACUAUGCCUAGAGUUCAUUUUAUACAUCGAUUGCUACAAUUUUCGGUUGCACCUCCAAUUUAUCGUGCCCACGGUAAACGCUGGGUAGCCAAGUGAAAGUGAAAUUGAUGAUGGUCCAUCUUUGUCUGAUGUUUGAUUAGUCAAAUGAACAUGCUUUCGCCUAUGUUCACGGGUCUUUUACCUUGGUUGUGCUUUAGUAUUUUUCAUCCACCUCUCCCCUUUUCGAAAAGUUUGUAUUGCUUAGCCUAGUCUCAGUUUGAUUAUGGAUGAGAUUGAAAUUGGUCUUGUGAAUUGGAAGGUGAAACUUCUUUUUAGUUUUCUUUUUUUUUAUGUGCAAUUCAUUUUGUUGAAUUCUUUGAUAUGACCCUAAUUAUUCAUUCUGGAAGGGCCAUAAUUUCGGAAUCCCGAAAAAUUAUAUUCCCAUUUUGGUCUAGGUUUUUUUGGAGAUUUUUUAUUGCUUUGAUUUUCUAGUAUUUCCGUCUUUUAGUGAUUUUUUUCACUGAUCAAAAUUUCGUACUUUUUCGGUUCC
rnacentral:lncRNA from 1 species